UUCAAGCCCCCACAAAAGUAUUUGUGGGGGCUAACGUGCUUAUUUGUUUAAUAUUUCAAAAAUUUUCUCUUCCUCGUACAAUACGAGUGGAGUAUGGACAUCCCUCUUCUGUAAGGGAUUAUUUGUCUGGGCAUGUACUUCACAGAAUUCAAUGUAAUAAUAUAAGUCCCAAUCAUGUAUUUCUGAUUGUAAAUAUCAGUGUAAUAUAUUUGCUAUAAUAGCAGUUGUAAAUAUCUGUGUAAUGCAGUAAUAUGAUGAUUAAUCAGUAUUAAAAAAAAAAAAAC
rnacentral:lncRNA from 1 species